UACAGAGGGGGCAAGCGUUGUUCGGAAUUACUGGGCGUAAAGGGCGCGUAGGCGGCCUGCUAAGUCGGACGUGAAAUCCCUGGGCUCAACCUAGGAACUGCAUUCGAAACUGGUCACCUAGAGUGAUGGAGAGGAAAGCGGAAUUCCCGGUGUAGAGGUGAAAUUCGUAGAUAUCGGGAGGAACACCAGUGGCGAAGGCGGCUUUCUGGACAUUUACUGACGCUGAGACGCGAAAGCGUGGGGAGCAAACAGG
rnacentral:rRNA from 1 species